ensembl:lncRNA
UUUGUUUAAUAUCUGUAAGUAUAUGAAUGUGAAGAGGGCCAGAGGGGAAAAUAAACCAAACCAACCAUCCAAAAGAACAUCCAAAACCACAGUGAUGGUGUUAUAUCAACAGGUAACAUAAAACAUAUCUAUAGUCAUCUCUAACCAGGCUGUUCCAUCUUGCUUUAAAAUGGCAGCCGCAGAAGAAAGGUAUACCUUGCAACGUUCUCUUAGUUUCAGCCAUAGCAUUUAUUCUGUGAUGCUUCUUCUAGAAAUGACAGCCUUCUAGUCAUUGUUCUCUUAAAGAAUUUAAUUUUUAUAGUACCAGACAGUUCCAUUUCUGCUCUCAGUACUGCAGUCAGUUUGUUUUUCAACACGGUCUUUAUCUCACAAUAGCUGUAUACUACUGUGUCAGGAUACUGUAGCACUGCAGUCAAUAGCAACAGGAUAUUCAUGCUGUCAAAAAGUAAUCCUAUAUUAUCCAUUACACACAGGUUAUUUCCGAGUGUGGUGGAAGACUUUCUUUAAAGCGACAAAGACCCUUUUGCGUUAAGACAGAAAUAAUGCUUCAACUUCGUGGCUGUCUGUGCUUUGUAAACAGCCAAUAAAUCUAAAUGCUUUUUUUGAGGUUGUGAAACACUUAAGGUAAAAUGAGAUUUCAGUAAUGCAUAGAAGUGUCGAAUCAGGUGCAUGUAAAUGUCUGAAAAGCUUCAGCAUUUUGUUUUUCCUGUUGUCAUAAAAUCCUGCAUUUCUCAACUUCAGCCCAGAAGAAACAGAAUUUUAACAAGCCAUUAACUUUCAUUUUUGUUUAUUCCCCCCCCCCCCAAUCACUCUGUGUUUGUAUAUUUAAAUAAUGUCCUUUAUUUUUAAGGAAUGAUUACAAAAAUAAUUUUUAAUAUAUAAUUUGAUUUGUAGUUUUCCACACAAAGCAAUGGAGACAGAGGAGGCAAAGGACCAGCUGGCAGACAGGCACCAAACUCCAGGUCUCCAGGUGACAUGGCUGCUCCCAUCUCUCCUUUACUACAGGAAACAUGAGUUCUCCUGCCUAUAAGAUCAGUUGUGAAUGCCAGCUGACCCUACACCCUGAGGAGAAUGGAAUGAAUUAAUAUGCUGUUGUGCUUUUUCUCAGCCAAAAGUUACCACUGCACUUGUUGCUUUGAGAAACAAGUCAAAAUAUCAUUGAUUCUCUGCAUCUGUACUUGAUAAGUAGAAUAUAGGUCUAAUUCACAACCUAUUGCAAUCAUUUAAAGGGAUUUCCUGUUGAUUCUAAGAGAGUAUUGAUUGCUUUCUAAACCAAACCUGGUUGGUGCUAUAUCUUCUCUCCACCUGUUUUCCUUUCAUUUUGUUUUAUGUCCCUUCAUUCUCUAUAGCUGCUCUGAUGGGAAGGGCCAGGUGCUGCUCCUCAGCAUGUGACGUGAGGAUGCUGUGUUCUUCCCCCUCCUUUUGCUCCACCUAGUCCAUGCAGGAGCUACCAGAUGUGGACCAGUUACUUUUGACCUUGAAAGAAAGAGCCUGAACCUAUAGCAUGGGGUUUACAUUACAGACUGGGAGCCUAAUGCAGGGCUAACGAUAAUGCAGUUUGGGAGGUCCAUAAAGGUAGCAGUGAGGAUUGCUGGAUAAAGCAAAUAAGCUAUAACCUCUGAAUGUGUUGUGCUGUCUUGCUGUGUACUUCUACAGAAAAAAGGGGCAUACCAGGCUGGUGUGGAAAUCAGUGGCACCUGGAACAUUGGUAUUUACCAGUGUAAGCAGGUGAGUGCUGCACUGGGCAGCAGUGAGAAUUGGUACAUAUGUACUUUUAACUCUACACAUAACUGAUUCACUCAAGUCCAAUUUCUGCUCUUGCAUCAGAAAAGCAGUCUGAGUAUCCUUAAUGGCUUUUAAAAUGGAGUUGUUGAUGAUGACUCAGAAGAAAGUAUAGCUGAAGAUGGAACAAAGUCACAGUUUGUGUGUGACUGCCUGAAUCAUCGUUGCUGGCAUUAGGAGGCAUACGGUCCACUUUUAUUCAAGUUCACUCCAGCUCUAUU